AUCCAGAUGAGGAGUCCUAAAUAGAACAAGACGCGCGUCAAACUGGAU
rnacentral:hammerhead_ribozyme from 1 species